AGAUGGUGACAGUGCACUCAUAUAAUAAGAAAAGGGUUGGUUAAAAGAAGAACUGAAGCUGGACACUCAGCACUUGGGAAGUAGAAACAGAAAGAUCUGAAGAUCAAAGCCACGCUUGGCUACAUAAUGAAUUAAGACCCAAUCGAGAUACAUAAGGACCUUCCGUACACUGAAGGAGGAGGAAGGUGCCUGCUGGCUAAGUAAGUGCUCUACCACUGAGCUCCACCUCUAACCCAGAGUAACAGUUCUUGCCUAUGACAAUGCACUUCUUUCCACAACAAACAAUCAAGAAUGAGGUAAGAAGUAACCUGCCCCCAAAUGUACCAGAUAUACACCCACCACACAGAUCUUUGGUUCUUAGUUAUCUGUGGCUAAAAAACAAAAAAAAAAGAAAAAGAAAAAAAAGAAAAGCUACCGCCCCUGGAGCACACCAGGCAGAGCCACCGCCUUCCGUACUUCGGCCCUGCUGAGGCUACGUGGAUAAAAGCAGCGUGGGUGGGGGAGGCAGCACUGAACCACAGCUCCUUCUGAGUCGUUACACAAGGGACAGAGGUUAGCAAAGGACUAAAUGGCGAAUGUGCAGGCACGCACAGACAGAAUGUAGGACAAGGAAGAUGGUGAUUAUGAAGGAAGUCUCAAAUGAAAGCUAUUUCUGCCACCCAAAUCAAUCCUUCAGGCACCCAUGUGUGCAUUUGCCUAAGCACGUAUUUGCCUCCCUAUUGGAUGAAUCCGGGAGAAAACCGGACAGAGAGAAACCAGAGUUUGGCAAUAUUCACUCAUGAAGAAAAGAUACUGCAUAGCCAUAAUUGUAGCACUUAAGGCUGAGGCAGGAGUUCAAGAUGAACCAGAUGCACUUUUCCACAGAAAACCAACUUUUCUUGAAAGAACCAACAGGGAUCACUCAGGCUUCAGUAUUUUGCAAAUAUUUUCUAAAAUUGAACAACUGAGCUGGCCUGGUGCUACACACUGGCAAUCUCAGCCAUCAGGAGGAUGAGGCGAGAUGACGCCACAAAUCCAAGGCCAAUUGACUUUGGCCACCAAAUCUGUGUCAAAAAACAAACAAAAAACACUAAAAGACAAAACUGUUGAUUCUGGGUGUGCUGACUAAUCCUAUGUCAACCUGACACCACCUAGAGUCACUUGGGAAGAAGGAACCUGAACUGAGAAAAAUGGCCCCACCAGACAGUUCUGUAGGCAAGCCUGUGGUGCACUUUCUUAAUUAGUGACUGAUGUGGUUCUACAGAAAAGCAGCUCAGUAAGCCACGAGAAUCAAGCCAGGAAGCAGCACUCAUCCACGGCUUCCUUCUGCAUCAGCUCCUUCUGCAUCAGCUCCUGCUCCCAUUGUUUAUGCCAGUGUGUGUGCUCCUUCCCUGACUUCACCCAACAAACUGUGAUUCAAGCUGUACAAAGCGCACAAGCCCUUUCCUGUCACGGUGUUUCAACACAACAACAGAAGCACUAACUAAGACAGCUCCUGAGAGUUCCCCUUUGAAUGCCACAGGAGUGCCAGGGCACACGUGUUCACACACACACCAAAUAAAUGAACGUGUAUGUUGUUUUUUAA
rnacentral:sRNA from 1 species